rnacentral:rRNA from 1 species
GGCGGGCUAAUACAUGCAAGUCGAACGAGAUUUAGGACUUCGGUUCUGAUGAAAGUGGCGCACGGGUGCGUAACACGUAUGCAACCUACCUUCAAUUGGGGGAUAGCCUUCCGAAAGGGAGAUUAAUACCGCAUAAGACAGCACACUCGCAUGAGCGAGCUGUUAAAACUUUGGUGAUUGAAGAUGGGCAUGCGUUGCAUUAGCUAGUUGGUAAGGUAACGGCUUACCAAGGCAACGAUGCAUAGGGGAUCUGAGAGGAUGGUCCCCCACACUGGUACUGAGAUACGGACCAGACUCCUACGGGAGGCAGCAGUAAGGAAUAUUGGUCAAUGGACGGAAGUCUGAACCAGCCAUGCCGCGUGCAGGACGACGGCCCUAUGGGUUGUAAACUGCUUUUGUCGGGGAAUAAACCUAGAUACGUGUAUUUAGUUGAAGGUACCCGAAGAAUAAGGAUCGGCUAACUCCGUGCCAGCAGCCGCGGUAAUACGGAGGAUCCAAGCGUUAUCCGGAUUUAUUGGGUUUAAAGGGUGCGUAGGCGGUAAAUUAAGUCAGAGGUGAAAGCCUGCAGCUCAACUGUAGAACUGCCUUUGAUACUGGUUUACUUGAGUACAGAUGAAGUGGGCGGAAUGUGACAAGUAGCGGUGAAAUGCAUAGAUAUGUCACAGAACACCGAUUGCGAAGGCAGCUCACUAAAGUGUAACUGACGCUGAGGCACGAAAGCGUGGGGAUCAAACAGGAUUAGAUACCCUGGUAGUCCACGCCCUAAACGAUGAUUACUCGCUGCCGGCGAUAUACAGUCGGCGGCUAAGCGAAAGCGUUAAGUAAUCCACCUGGGGAGUACGGUCGCAAGAUUGAAACUCAAAGGAAUUGACGGGGGCCCGCACAAGCGGAGGAGCAUGUGGUUUAAUUCGAUGAUACGCGAGGAACCUUACCCGGGCUUGAAAGUUACUGAAGAUAGUAGAAAUAUUAUCGUCCGCAAGGACAGGAAACUAGGUGCUGCAUGGCUGUCGUCAGCUCGUGCCGUGAGGUGUUGGGUUAAGUCCCGCAACGAGCGCAACCCCUAUGAUUAGUUGCCAGCAUUUAGAUGGGGACUCUAAUCAGACUGCCUACGCAGUAGAGAGGAAGGCGGGGACGACGUUCAAGUCAUCAUGGG